rnacentral:rRNA from 1 species
AGUGAACGCUGGCGGUAGGCCUAACACAUGCAAGUCGAACGGCAGCACAGUAAGAGCUUGCUCUUACGGGUGGCGAGUGGCGGACGGGUGAGGAAUACAUCGGAAUCUACUUUUUCGUGGGGGAUUACGUAGGGCAACUUACGCUAAUACCGCAUACGACCUACGGGUGAAAGCAGGGGAUCUUCGGACCUUGCGCGAUUGAAUGAGCCGAUGUCGCAUUAGCUAGUUGGCGGGGUAAAGGCCCACCAAGGCGACGAUCCGUAGCUGGUCUGAGAGGAUGAUCAGCCACACUGGAACUGAGACACGGUCCAGACUCCUACGGGAGGCAGCAGUGGGGAAUAUUGGACAAUGGGCGCAAGCCUGAUCCAGCCAUACCGCGUGAGUGAAGAAGGCCUUCGGGUUGUAAAGCCCUUUUGUUGGGAAAGAAAAGCAGCAGGUUAAUACCCCGCUGUUCUGACGGUACCCAAAGAAUAAGCACCGGCUAACUUCGUG